UCACGGGGCUGCCAGCUUCCAUCGUGUGAUCUGCUGAGGCCAAAGCAGAGGACAGCAGCCCAGGCCCGACUCUGCAGCAGGGUGGGGGUGGGGUGGGCUUGGGGGUGGGGAUGGGGAUGGGAGCCGCCAAUGCAAACUGGUCCCUCGCUGGUUUCCUACCCUGCACCCUGCCAUGCAAGGCCUCCUCUCCCACCCCUACCCCUGUCUCCCACCGCCUCCACCCCUAGGCUGCCCCACACCCAGGCUCCGGAAGUCUCCCAGGAUCCAGGAACUAAAGGCAACCACUGGGUUCCGCAGCCCCUAGUCUAUGAGUCAGCCACCCCUCUGCAUGCUGACAAACCUUGGCUCUCAUGCCCCACCCCAAGCCAACCACACAGCCCUGUCCCCGCACCAGCAUUAUUACCACCUCCUGAUUUUGGCCCUGACAGCCCUGCUUCCUGGUAACCUUGCCCCCUCCCACCCGGCUCCAGGCAAGCCCAAAGGCCAGCGCCCUCCACCCACCCUUCCUGGGGGCCACUCUACUAUCUCCUUGCCCAGAUGUCUUAACCUGGCUUUACCAAGAUAGAAUAAAUAACAGGGAUGAGCCCCCAGACUCUGCAAGGAAUAUUUGCCAAAAUACUCUCCAUUUAGAAGCAGGAACAGUGAUGGGGCCUAUGAAUGACCCCAGGAUUGUCACCCAAGCAGUAAGAACAGCAAGGAGACCGGUUUCCUGCCCUUCGUGCUCACACUCUGGCUGAACUGGAACCAAGAGAGACAGGAAGAGCUACAGCCCGGAGAAAAGGAUCUUUGCUGAUGUUGAACAUCAACAGGGAAACCAGGCCUGAGUGGAUUCGCACAUGACAUCUCCCUGGACACAGGGAUGGGUUCACAAAGGGGUUGGAAUCACUGAGAUGUGAGGAGAAGUCCGCUGGCAGCUUCUGGGACAUUACACCUGGUGCUGAAGAGAUCGCUGCUGGAAGAGGCUGUCUUCCUGGGCAUGUUGUCAGCAAACGGAAACCUCACAGAGACACUAUAAAGGCUACUAUUCCAAUGCUUCUGGAAUUGGUGCUGGGAGAACCCUGACAGAGCCCUUCUCCCCUCCUGUCUUGGAGGGCCGGGGGCCGGCUGACCCAGCACGCAGGAGGCCUGCGCCUCAGAUCCUUCUGGCUGAACCAGGCAGCAGAUCCACGCCGCGGGGCUUCCUCCCACGUGAGCUAACGCAAGAAACGACCCUGCAAAUCAAAGACCACCACCCAGGAGAAGCAGGAGAAACUCCCCAACUUGAAGUGAAUGUAUCAACAUUUCAGAAAAGGUAAAGUGGAUGUUGCUGUUUAAUCUGCUCAGCAUCCCUCCCCCACCUCUUUUGAUAAUUGGCCUCAGCAGGGUGGGUGGCCCACGUCUUUAAUCCCAGCACCUUGGGAAGUCGAGACAGGUGAUCACAGCAGUUCCAGACCAGCCUGACCAACACAGUAAAACCCCGUCUCUACUAAAAAUACAAAAAUUAGCUGAGCGUGGUGGUGCACACCUGUAAUCCCAGCUACAUGGGAGGCUGAGGCAGGAGAAUCGCUUGACCCUCGGAGGCGGAGGUUGCAGUGAGCCAAGAUCACACCACUGCACUCCAGCCUGGACGACAGAGUGAGACUGUGUCUCAAAAAAAAAAAAAAAAAAAAAGAUUCUGCCUCAAAAAAAAAUAAUAAUAAUUGGCCUCAUCCAGUGGACACAGUUCUGGGAAUGACAACGAGGCUAGGCCAAUCGGCCUCUCCUGAAAUGUUUCCCUGAAGCUGGAAAAGAGAAACUAUCCAGAGCUCAAAGGAGAUUAAUUUGAUGCUACUAGUGUUCAUGUUUCUAAUUAAGGGACAAAAAUCUAACUGCAGAGGGAGGAAAUGAAGCCAGUGAAGCCAGGGAGAGAUGAGAGAGAGAAAGAGAAAGACAGGGAGAGAGAGAGAGAGAGAGAGAGCAGGAGAGAGAAUAGCACCUGGAAUCUCUGAGGUUCCUGGAGAUGUCCUGGUUUCAUCACCUUCCCCGUUAUCUUCCCAGUAAUGUUCCCUUUCUCCUAAAGCCAGCUGGGUUUUUGUUUCUUGCAUUUGAAGUGUUCUGGCAAAUAGAGCUUCUGCUUCGUGUUUUCUUCCAGUCAAAUUGAAGGGACCAUUGACCAAUACAGAGCAAGAAAUCCAAAGGAGGAAUCACUCUAGAUCCAAAAAGAUGUUCAUGGAGAAAGAAACUACAAAGAGGCAGAAAUGCCAAACACUAAUUUAGUGUAGACACACAAGAAAUUCACCUAGAAUGCAGAGAAGAAAUAUGAGAAGUACAAAAUCAAGAAUGAUGUGGAAGAUUUAUUCAGGAGAUCCAUUAUAGACAUACGUACAGACCAACAAUCCUUUAUGCAAAACCCUUGGAGUCAGGUGUGUUUCAAAAUUCAGCACUGGAAGAUUUUAGAAAGAUGGUGUGGGGCAUGUGCUGAUAUUAUAUACACCUCCCUGCAGAGUCUAGAUCAGUACCCUGUAAUUGAAACCAUCAACACUUUUGUAGGAAAAC